ensembl:lncRNA
AUGCUAAAUACACCACAAGCAACUGUGACAAAGCAAAGCAACCAAAGAAGUCUGAUUCAGAGGAAGACACCAUGUAAACCAGGCAUCAAGAGGAAGAGAAGGAGUCAGUCAAGCAGAAGCAGAGGAGAGAAAGGAUCUCACUGCAGACAGAUUCAGAUUCUGGAGGCGACUCUUGGCGGACUGCUGCAGCUCCUCGGUGCGCCUGCUGAGGUGUUUCACCUGCUGGCUCCAUCCCUCCAUCUGCAGCAAGUCGGCCAGCUGCCCCUCCCUCUCCCCCAUGGCGUCCAGGUCUCCAUGGAGACCGCAACACUCCCUCAGCACCGCCUGUCACAAUCAGACCAUAAAUUACAAGUCAAAGAGAGGAGGUUCCUCCGUUGGGUGAUGAUACUAAUUAAGGUCAGCCAACAUGGAGGCUUUCACUGGAAACCACAAUCUAAUUAACCGCAGAUUUGAGACGUAUCUUCAGAUCUCAUAAGGUAAUGAAGGAUUUUUUUCAUGACUGUAAAGAAAUUUUAAACCCUAAAAAUUCACCUGGUGGGCUCGAAUUUGCUCCUGCAGCUGAGUAGCAGAGCUCCAGACGAUGUUGCUGGUGAUCAGAGCUUCAGCCUUUUCAAUCCAGCUCAAAAUAAAAGCCUUCAUGUUGUGAUAUUCCUCCACCUGCCUCUCUGCCUGCUCAACGUUGGUAGAAAAAAGACAAAUGAACUAAAACUAUUCUCAAGCAUGUCUAGAAUAUUGUUCGUUAUUAGAGGUUGAGAUGAAACUGCUCACCUUUUUGAGUCUGUUGACUUUAUCCUGGGCCUGUUGAGCAGUGUGGCGCUGUAGCUCAGUCAGUUUAGCCACAGCAUCUCCAAGCUGCUUACACAGCAGUGGGUUCUGCUCUCCAAACUCCUGCACAGAUCCUCCUAACUCUGCCAGAGAGCAUCUGCAGGAUUCACACUCUUCACAAAGUGCCUGGAGGGGGAAGAAACAGAUAAAAACGUAGAAAACGAAUUAUUUUAACUGCACUUUAACUUUUAAAAUCCUCAGAUGGUCAGAAGAAGGAAGCAUCAAGGAGAUGAGAUGAAGAGCAGAAGAAGAACUCCAGCUCCCAUCUGGAGUUCGGCUCUCAAAAGUGGGUCAAGCUGAAGGCAGAAUUCAGUUCAGGCCAUUCCAACUCUCACACACUCAUUAACCCCAACACCUGCAGGAUGAAUCGCCACUUUAACCUGGGUUAAUUGCUCGCUAAUUAGUCAAUCUGUCUGCUUUAUUACUUUGGUCUCUUCUUUGGCCUCCUCCAAGUCGGCGCCCUUGUCUUCAAGUUUUACAGCAGCGGUCUUCAGCUUCGCCUCGAUGUCCUGAAGUCUGUAGCUGAAGUCCUCUUUUACAUCUCUGGUCUGCUGGACUUCCCUCUCUCUAGCCUGCACCUAAAGUGGAUACACACACACACACACACACACACACACACACACACACACACACACACACACACACACACNNNNNNNNNNNNNNNNNNNNNNNNNNNNNNNNNNNNNNNNNNNNNNNNNNNNCACACACACACACACACACACACACAUACACACACACACACACACACACACACACAAAGACUUAGAUAGGGUGCGUGAUGGCUUUUUUUGACAAAAGAAGCACUGGGGGAAGGUUAAUUAGGCAAUAAUGAAUGAACUGGUGAAGCUCAAGAUGUAAACAUGACCGAACUUUCUAAAAGAAGAUAAAAGGAGAUAUUACCUGAUCUUCAGCUGACCCCAGAGCCAGAGCCACUUCUGCUAAUUGCAUGCUGAGUUCAGAGGGCAAGCCAGCUUGAAAGUCCUGAUACUUGGACUGCUGCAGCUCUGUCAUGCGCUCCACACUCUGACGCCUGCUGAUGACCUCACCGUGAGCAGUCUGCCACACAAACAAGACCACAUUCAAGACAACAAAUUCCUUCCCCUGAACGGCAGACAAUGACAUGCUGGUUACCUCUAACUCGUGCAGCAGGGAAUCCAGAUCUGCUGUGGGACUCAGCAGCAGACCUCGAGUGUCUUGGAUCCAGCCUUUAACUAACCCUAGCUCCUUCUCCACCUCCUCCCUCUCCCUCAGCUCCUGCUGCACCUGAGCCCUGCUGGAGCGCACCUGCAACAGCAGGCUGCACAACAACACAUUAUUUAGCCAUAUAUGCUAAAACUUAAACUGAACACAUUUAACAGGAUUUAUACAUUUUGUAAAAAUAACCUGAAGCAACCCUACCUGUCGUAACAUUCCUGCAUCCUCCUGAUCUCCUGUAGGCAUGUUGUCUCCUCAUGCCCGUUCUCCGUCUUCUUCUCCAUCACCACCUCCCUUCCAUCCUCUCCUCUAAGGCAGCGAGUUUGCUGCCCCAGCAAGGCCAGUAUGGACUGCUCCUUCUCCACCUCCUGGCUGAAGGAGUCGUGGUACUCCAGCAGGCUCUGGAGUGCCGCCCUGGUGGCCGCCUUCUCCACGGUGCUGUCUGGAAGGCGACUGUGGAGGUCUCUGGACACAGAACUCACUUUCUCCACCUAAAUGUCAGAAAUUAGAAAUGAAGAGUUAUCAGAUGUUUUUAUAAAGAAGGAAAAUGUGAUAAUGACUUAAGUAGGCUUUAGGUUAAGGAUACAUAUGUCUUCUACAGCGUUUAUGUUAGAUUAAGUAUCAUCAAAUAGCAUUUAUAUGACUGUUCAGAAAAAAGCAAACUUGAUCUGCAUGUAUUUGUCUUCAUGCACGGUGCUAGAAAAUCAGUUUCAGUAAUUUCUCAUGUAAAAAUAAGAUUUCUGAAUAGUGAAAACAGAAAAAAAACAUUUCUUAGGUGUAGAAACAGCUCUGAGAAAAGUGAUUUAAAAGGGUGCUGUUUAUCACUUUUACGCUUAUAACAGAAGUAAUAAAAUCACAAAAUUAAAUCAAAAAUAGAGCAAAUUUUACUUCUACUGACACAACAUUUCUGAGGUGAACAGUUUCUGUUUCAAAAGCCUCUAAAGAAAGUUUGUGAAAGUCAGAGGUGAAUGACAUCAUGUCCAGAAAAACAAAGGAGCCACAGACAAAAACACACAAUGGACAACAGGAACGUGCCACAUAUGAGGAAGUGGACAUCCUCCUGAGUCUGACUUCACUUCCUCUUUAGAAACGGUGCUUUGUGGGUGUUCUUGGGAGCAGACAGAGAGUGAGCGUGAAUUGGGUCAAAAGGCGGGAAAACGCUUCAUGACAGAGAGUUUUGGCAGGAAAACACAGCUGGCCUAAAGCCUGGAGUUACAUCUCUCUCUCUCUCUCUCUCUCUCUCUCUCUCUCUCUCUCUCUCUCUCUC